AAUCUGAGACAGCCGCAUCUUGUCUCCCGUCACCAGCCACAUCCCUGAGACAUCAUGGGGAAGGUGAAGGUCAGAGUCAACGGAUUUGGUCGUAUUGGGCGCCUGGUCACCAGGGCUGCUUUUAACUCUGGUAAAGUGGAUAUCGUUGCCAUCAAUGAUCCCUUCAUUGACCUCAACUACAUGGUCUACAUGUUCCAGUAUGAUUCCACCUAUGGCAAAUUCCAUGGCACUGUCAAGGCUGAGAACGGGAAGCUUGUCAUCAAUGGAAAUCCCAUCACCAUAUUCCAGGAGCAAGAUCCCUCCAAAAUCAAGUGGGGCUAUGCUGGCACUGAGCACGUGGUGGAGUCCACUGGCGUCUUCACCACUGUGGAGAAGACUGGGGCUCACUUGCAGGGGGGAGCCAAAAGGGUCAUUAUAUCUGCCCCCUCUGCUGUUGCCCCCAUGUUCGUGAUGCGCGUGAACUAUGAGAAUCAUGACAACAGCCUCAAGAUCGUCGGCAAUGCCUCCUGCACCACCAACUACUUAGCACCCCUGGCCAAGGUCAUCCAUGACAACUUUGGUAUCAUGGAAGGACUCAUGACCACCGUCCACGCCAUCACUGCCACCCAGAAGAUGGUGGAUGGCCCCUCCGGGAAACUGUGGCAUGAUGGCCGUGGGGCUCUCCAGAACAUCAUCCCUGCCUCUACUGGCGCUGCCAAGGCCGUGGGCAAGGUAAUCCCUGAGCUGAAUGGGAAGCUCAUUGGCACGGCCUUCUGUGUCCCCACUGCCAACGUGUCAGUGGUGAACCUGACCUGCCAUCUAGAAAAACCUGCCAAAUAUGAUGACAUCAAGAAGGUGGUGAAGCAGGUGUCGGAGGGCCCCCUCAAGGGCAUCCUGGGCUACACUGAGCACCAGGUGGUGUCCUCUGACUUCAACAGUGACACCCAUUCUUCCACCGUCGAUGCUGGAGCUGGCAUUGCCCUCAACGACCACUUCGUCAAGCUCAUUUCCUGGUAUGACAAUGAAUUUGGCUACAGCAACAGGGUGGUGGACCUUAUGUCCCACAUAGCCUCCAAGGAAUAAGAUCCCUGGACCACCAGCCCCAGCGAGAGCACGAGAGGAAGACAGGCCCUCACUGCUGGGGAGUCCCUGCCACACUGAGUCCCCGCCACACUGAGUCCCCGCCACACUGAGUCCCCCACCACACUGAAUUGCCCCUCCUCACGGUUUCCAUGCAGACCCCUUGAAGACGGAGGGGCCUAGGGAGCCCCACCUUGUCGUGUACCAUCAAUAAAGUCCCCUGUGCUCAGCCAAAAAAAAAAAAAAAAAAAAAAAAA